AGUGAACGCUGGCGGUAGGCCUAACACAUGCAAGUCGAACGGCAGCACAGUAAGAGCUUGCUCUUACGGGUGGCGAGUGGCGGACGGGUGAGGAAUACAUCGGAAUCUACUUUUUCGUGGGGGAUAACGUAGGGAAACUUACGCUAAUACCGCAUACGACCUACGGGUGAAAGCAGGGGAUCUUCGGACCUUGCGCGAUUGAAUGAGCCGAUGUCGGAUUAGCUAGUUGGCGGGGUAAAGGCCCACCAAGGCGACGAUCCGUAGCUGGUCUGAGAGGAUGAUCAGCCACACUGGAACUGAGACACGGUCCAGACUCCUACGGGAGGCAGCAGUGGGGAAUAUUGGACAAUGGGCGCAAGCCUGAUCCAGCCAUACCGCGUGGGUGAAGAAGGCCUUCGGGUUGUAAAGCCCUUUUGUUGGGAAAGAAAAGCAGCAGGUUAAUACCCCGCUGUUCUGACGGUACCAAAAGAAUAAGCACCGGCUAACUUCGG
rnacentral:rRNA from 1 species